AUACGGAGGAUGCAAGCGUUAUCCGGAUUUAUUGGGUUUAAAGGGUGCGUAGGCGGUUUGCUAAGCGGGAGGUGAAAUGCCGGCGCUCAACGUCGGAAGUGCCUCCCGAACUGGUGGACUUGAAUGACUCUGCCGUGGGAGGAAUGUGUAGUGUAGCGGUGAAAUGCUUAGAGAUUACACAGAACACCGAUUGCGAAGGCAUCUCACGAAGGGUUGAUUGACGCUGAGGCACGAAAGCGUGGGGAUCAAACAGGAUUAGAUACCCUGGUAGUCCACGCAGUAAACGAUGAUGGCUAACCGCUGGGCUUAUCAGUUCAGUGGCCAAGCGAAAGCGAUAAGCCAUCCACCUGGGGAGUACGACCGCAAGGUUGAAACUUAAAGGAAUUGACGGGG
rnacentral:rRNA from 1 species